rnacentral:lncRNA from 1 species
UGAGGGGCGGCUGCACUUAGAUUUCCUCCUUUUAUCUUUUAUCUUUUUUUAUUUAUAAUUACUCAAAAAAUAUUAUUUUUAAUAUUUUUGGAAUUAGAAAUUAAAUUUAGUGACGAAAAUUUCUGUCAAUAAUCCGUCACUAUCAAAAAUAAUCUUUUAAAAAUUUAUAAACAUUUGGGUUGUAAUUUUUGUGACGGGUGAAUUUGUCACUAUCUCGUUGCAAUUUCGCUUACCAGUUUUGUGACAGAUAUCCCGUCACGACAGUGGUCACUAAGUUUUGGCGCCCAUCCUACCCGCGUAUUUUGUGACCGGUCGGUCACUAAUCUGUCACUAAGUUUACGCCACGGUGACCAAAUUUCUGUCUGUCACUAAUCCGUCACAAAUAGUGACUGAUAAUGGGCCGUCACUAAUUUUCCGUCACUAUACGCGUGUUUUCUGGUAGUGAGUAUUUGCCUUGCACUCGAGUCGACUCCUAGAAUUCUCGAGUCGACUUUGGCACAUGGUUAUUGUCUGGCACUUCCUCGAGCCGACUCCCAGAUAGGGCGAGUCGACUCUUAAAGUAAAAAUAGAGAGCAAUUUUUCAAGUGCAGAGCGCAAGUUGACUCCAACUAUUGACGAGUCGACUCUUACAGGAAAGACAGAGAAGUGAUUUUUAAGGCACAGUACUCGAGUCAACUCCAACUCCUCGAGAGCCGACUCUUACAAAAAAGUUAGAGAGCAAGUUUUCAAGGCACAGUAUUUGAGUUGACUCCAAUUGUUCACGAGCCGACUCUUACAGAGAAAACAAAGAACGAAUUUCCAAGCUACAGUGCACGAGUCGACUCCCAGAAGUUUCGAGCUGUCUCCCGCAAAUUAAAGCCACAAAGUAAUUUCUUCGGCACAGUGGCUGGGUCGACUCGAACUGUUUACAAGCCGACUCCUAUAGAAAAAGCCGAGAGCAAUUUUGCACAGACUAGAAUGCAAGCCGACUCCGAAAUUGCUCGAACCAUCUCCUGGAAAAAGCUGGUAGUUCACAUUUGAAAACGCCGUGGGCGAGGCGAUUCCCGAUUUCUUCGAGCCGACUCUUACAUGAUUGACAGAGAGCUUAUUUAUAAAAGCCCGAAUUCGAAUCGACUCCAGAUUUUCAUGAGGCGUCUCCUAUUUCAGUCGAGCCGACUCCAAGACGGGAGAGUCGACUGCAAUCCCAAUGGAUACUUUGUGAGGACGUGCAGUUUUGUCAAAACGACUCUUUUCUCCUCUCUAACAGCUGGUUUUCGAGGAGAUAAGUUAUAAAAGGUGGUUCUAAGCAUUAACAAUAAAAAGAGAGAAAAUCCAUUGAGAGCAUUCAAGUCUAUCAACCACCGAAGGAGAGUUAGAGCCAUUCAAAGAAAAAGAGGAGUUAUUGCAUCCCAAGCGAUUUCAGAGCACUCCUCACAUUAAAGACUUAUUGAAGUGAUUCUCAACUAUCAGCACAUUCAAGAGAGGAUCCAGUAAAAGAGAAGCAAAGUCUUCCAUCGGCAAAAUCUAUUUGAAGGCUUCUUCCUUUACAUUUUGUUUAUAUUGCUAUAUCUGCUUAUCUAGAAGCUUGUAAUUUUUAAAACUUAUUUCUCUGUUAUUUGUUACUUGAUUCAAUCAGAAGAUUGAAUCAAGGGGUUAAGGUUUGUUGGUGAGCCCGUAAAAUCAAUGGAGUUGUUUGUGAGCCGGAAAAAACAAACGGAGAGGUUUUAGUCGGUGAGCCAGGGAAAACCGACCAGGUUCGUUAUGAUCCUACGAAAACAAUAAGUUGGGUUGUGAGCUUGUAAAACUACUGAGCUGUAAUCUUUAGAUUAUAGUGAACUCCCAAGAGAAGCUUGGGGAGUGGAUGUAGGAGCCAGGGUUGGCUCCGAACUACUAUAAAAAUCUUGUGUUUGUGUUGUGAUCUAUCUUGUUUUACUUCUUUACUGCUUUCUUAUAGAUUACUCAAUUAUAUUUACUUAAAAUCAAGAAAUCUUUCUUAUAGAUUACUCAAUUACAUUUGCUUAAAAGUUUGGAACAGCCAAACCACAUAAGGAAUCAAAAUUAAACCCAUACCCGGCCUUGUUACCCAUAUCGUCCAUCCCUUGCAAAUCAGUAUCUUACUAGCUAAAGGGG